rnacentral:snoRNA from 1 species
CUACAGCCAGUUAAGCCGACUGAGUUCCUUUCCUCAUGGGGGCCCAGUGUGCAAUGGCUGCAAACAGCAGCUUCCCUGGUAGUGAUGCAGCCUGUUUGUUGUAUGGGUUGCUCUAAAGGACCUUGGAGACAGUC